rnacentral:misc_RNA from 1 species
GAUGAAGAACGUAGCGAAAUGCGAUACGUAAUGUGAAUUGCAGAAUUCCGUGAGUCAUCGAAUCUUUGAACGCACAUUGCGCCCACUGGUAUUCCGGUGGGCAUGCCUGUUCGAGCGUCAUUAUCCUCCCUCAAACCCCGGGUUUGGUGUUGGACCCAAGUUGUGUGAACAACUGGUCUCAAAGACAAUGACGGCGUCCGUGGGACCCUCGGUGCAACGAGCUUUUAGGAGCACGCAUCGAGUUGCAAGGACCUUCCGGGCCGGUCUCCUUUACCAUUUUACAAGGUUGACCUCGGAUCAGGUAGGAAUACCCGCUGAACUUAAGCAUAUCAAUAAGCGGAGGA